rnacentral:lncRNA from 1 species
UGGGAGGAAGCUGCAAAGUGUGGGCUCUGGAGACAGACUGCCUAGAUUGAGUUCAUACUUCACCGUUUGUUUUCUGAGUGACCUUGGGCAAGUUACUUAAUUUCUCUGUGCAAUUUCUUCAUCUGUAUGACAUAAGAGCAGUACCCACUUCACUGGGUUGUUUUGAAGAUCAAAGUUCAUGGUGCAAAGAGUUAACAGGAGAGACCUCACACAGGAUGUUAAGGGCACAACACUCUGAUAUUGAAGUUGAAGAAAUGGAAUUUCAUAUCCUUUCUCCUAACCUUUCUUGGUUUGCCGUAUAAUUUUUUAACCUCCUCCACUGAAUCACAACGUGCCCAAAGUUAAAUUUUGGUGUUUUCAUUUCAUGCAGUGUCUUCAUCUGUCACAAUAUUCUCCCAUUUUACAACUAUAUUUAUGGCAGAGAGAUAAAUAACCAAAAAUAGAGGCCAAAAUGAAGAAUGGAUGAACAUUGUUUUCAGGUAGAAUGUGACACUGGUCCUUGAAUCAGUCUUGACCCAGUUACACUGGGAGGUGUCAGAUAUGUUGUGCUCUGUGUGGAAACGGAGUCAUCCUAUUCAACACUUCCACACACUGGGGCCCAAGUUGUCCUGCACUGACAAUUCUUUUAAAAGAAGCAGAGAGAAUUGCUCUCACCUCAGUAAAGGAGCUUCACAUAGAGGAAAAGAGCUUUCUCCUUCCCCAAGAGAGCUUAAGGCACAGGUGAGAGGGAAUUUUCCUUACCAUGAAAGGGACUGCUAAGCAUUUCCGCCUGACGAGGACUGAGGGCAUCACUGGGCAGGACGAACUGGGCAAUCUCUGUGCCAUGGAGGACACGAGGACUCGUGCAGAGUGGCAAGAAGCACAGUGGACCGUGUGUGAGGGGCGUCUGGAACAGCAGAGUCCGCAUGUUUUGUGGCAUUGGUGAAGGCCUGGUCCUGAGAAGCAAAGACAGAGGCUGCUGCACUGAUUCUUAAAGUCAUAUAAUGAUCCCCUGGAGGACUUCUAGAGAAAUAUUGAAGCAGAAGAUGCCGAGGGCAUAGGCAGUCUAUUUGGCAGGAAUGUGACCUUUUAGUCUAAAAGUCAUCUACUCUUGAAACAAUGAAAGAAAACAAAGGAAAUUUUUGGCAGUGCUAAGGCUUUGAAAGUUCUGGUAACAAAAGAGGGAACCAAAAGAGACCCCUGAAGGCCACCAGGAGCAUUGAGCAUCCAG